GUGGGUAUAGCUCAGUAGAAGAGUGCAUGCCUAGCAUGCAGGAAGUCCUGGGUUCAAUCCCCAGUACCUCCA
rfam:Camelus ferus unplaced genomic scaffold scaffold741, whole genome shotgun sequence.